ACUGUCGGGACGAGGUUCCGGUGACUCCUGCGGUGGAGACUCCGGCUUCCUCCAGCUCUUCUCUGUUCUAUCCUCAGCAGCCCGGCUAUUUCCAUUGCCAAAGCUCUUUUUCCCAAAGGAAAAGGCGUUGGAUUUCUCUGUCUUCUCCUCCAGUGACACCUCCUUAAUCUUCGACUCUAGCUGCUCGUCAAGCUUUUUCCAGUCAUGUCCCUUCUCGGCUAAAACCUCUUCCCUUGGCCUCGCCGCUCCAAAUGGGUUCGAACUCUUGGGCCUCGCCGUCGUCCCUGAUAUCUCCGAUGAUUUCCCGUCGCUAACCGGCAGCGUACGUGGCUGCAGAUUAAGCUUUGGCCGACCACCAAUGACGCCACCAGUAUUACCUUCUUCUUUCUUCCUCCCCCAAUUGUCGGAAUCUGCCCCGCCGCCGCUCGCCGUGAACCCUCCUCGUCGCUCUCUGUCAAAUCCGCCGUUAGCUCCAAAUCUCCUUCCAUCCGACGGAACAUUGCUCUUAUUAGAAACCCAACUCUCUGAUUCGUCGGCUUUUGAAGAUUGCGAAUCCGAAAACCCUACUCCUCUUUCCCUCCUCUCAAAUCCAUUUGCAGCCA
rnacentral:misc_RNA from 1 species